rnacentral:misc_RNA from 1 species
GAUUUCCCUUGUGAAUUCACCGCAGGGGCAGUGCUCUGGAGAUGGAUCAGUUAGCUUGAAUGUUCUACCAUUUCUCACCAUGAAUGGGGGGCAUGCCGUGCUCACAAAUGUUAUUUUUAUAAUGGUAUGACUAGUAUCAUUCCACCAAUGAACUUUCACCUUUUCACGAUCAACAAAAGGUAGAGUGAUCAUAAUCACGUAUCCUUCCGAGUCCUCGUAUAUAACUUUUGCAGCAACGGCUGGCCCAU